rnacentral:rRNA from 1 species
AGAGUUUGAUCCUGGCUCAGGAUGAACGCUAGCGGGAGUAACACAUGCAAGUCGAGGGGCAGCACGAGGUAGCAAUACUUUGGUGACGACCGGCGCACGGGUGAGUAACACGUAUGCAACCUACCCUGUACAGGGGGAUAGCCCGGAGAAAUUCGGAUUAAUACCCCAUAAUGAUAUUGAAAGGCAUCUUUUAAUAUUUAAAGUUUCAACGGUACGGGAUGGGCAUGCGCAACAUUAGCUAGUUGGUAGGGUAACGGCCUACCAAGGCUACGAUGUUUAGGGGACCUGAGAGGGUGAUCCCCCACACUGGUACUGAGACACGGACCAGACUCCUACGGGAGGCAGCAGUGAGGAAUAUUGGUCAAUGGGCGUAAGCCUGAACCAGCCAUCCCGCGUGCAGGAAGACGGCGCUAUGCGUUGUAAACUGCUUUUCCAGGGGAAGAAAACCCGCUACGUGUAGCGGUUUGCCGGUACCCUGGGAAUAAGCAUCGGCUAACUCCGUGCCAGCAGCCGCGGUAAUACGGAGGAUGCGAGCGUUAUCCGGAUUUAUUGGGUUUAAAGGGUGCGUAGGCGGAUUGAUAAGUCAGUGGUGAAAACCUUCAGCUUAACUGGAGAAUUGCCAUUGAUACUGUUAGUCUUGAGUACGGUCAAGGUAGGCGGAAUGUGUAAUGUAGCGGUGAAAUGCUUAGAUAUUACACAGAACACCGAUUGCGAAGGCAGCUUACUGGGCCAUUACUGACGCUGAUGCACGAAAGCGUGGGGAGCGAACAGGAUUAGAUACCCUAGUAGUCC